UUGCAGAAACUAACGAGGAUGAAUCUUGAAAGUCUCAGCUGGAUGCUUGGACUUAAACAAUCGUUGCGGAUGGAUUGGCACUAGAGGUGAUCGCCUCUAUGCUGCCGAGAUUUUCGAGUUUCUUAAGGUUUGCAAUCGAGGCAGGUGUGCAUUCUCCAUGCGGAUUCCUUAGUUAAUGCAGCUUUUCUAACAGUAAUUGAUUUGAUCAUUGGUAGUGGCAUCUGCUAUUUUUUUCUCGACUCUUGAUCUUUUGUAGGCAUCUAAUUUCAUUUUCACUUUUUUUUUUUUUUUUUUUUUUUUUUUUUUUAGCAAUUGAUAUGCAGGAGCCCUACUCUUCUCUGCUCAAAUUUGAGUACUGUUGGUCUUCGUUAUACUUUGAGUGUUGUACUGAUAACGGUUAAUAAUAGCGGUCAUUUCAGUUGUGUGAAGGAAUAUAUCUCCAGCAUUUUUUGAUGUCUCAUGUUUCUGGAAUGAUUGAUUAUUUUCUCGUGGCAGGUGUGGAGGUUUGCUAGAAAUAAAUAGAUAAAUCACAUCGAGGCAAAAGAGCAAACAGGCAAGUUACUAGGUGUUCAUGUCGUUCGUCCUGUUCAGAGAUCCUGGUGAUGUUUUAUACAAAAUUUGCAAUGUAAGUUCCCUCUCUUCUUCCCUUCCAGUGAUAGAUCUGUAAGUCUUUCAGCUUCUACUUGCUUUUUUUUUACUCAAGGCUGUUAGAUUGCAUUAACAUAUCGUUUAGAAUAAGUCGGAAUAUUUUCGCCUUGUGUUAGAAGGAUAGAUGAUGUUUGUUGGAGGCACUUGAAAUGGAUGAGGUGCGAGCCUUACUAGGUAUACCAACUGCAAUUGAUUCAGUGGAAUAAGCUAUGCCAUCUCCAAAGUCACUGCUGUUUG
rnacentral:lncRNA from 1 species